rnacentral:misc_RNA from 1 species
GUGAAUCAUCGAAUUUUUGAACGCAAAUUGCACUCUCUGGCAUUCUGGCGAGUAUGCCUGUUUGAGGGUCAGUUUAAAUAAAAAUCUAGGUGUUGCUUUUUUGUGACCCAUCGGACUUGGGUUAUAAUUGAUUUUUUAAAGGUUUAAGUGACCUAAAAUUGAUACAUUGUGCACCUCAGACGUACAUAAGAAUAUUUUUUUAUCCGUCAGGAGUUACUAACU